rnacentral:rRNA from 1 species
GCUCAGACAUGCAGUCGAACGAUUAAAGCUCCCUUCGGGGAGUGCAUAGAGUGGCGUACGGGUGAGUAACACGUAAGUAAUCUACCCUCGAGUGGGGAAUAACAUCGGGAAAUCGGUGCUAAUACCGCAUAAUGCAGCGGCAUCAUAAGAUGACAGUUGUUAAAGGAGUAAUUCGCUUGAGGAGGAGCUUGCGGCAGAUUAGCUUGUUGGUAAGGUAAUGGCUUACCAAGGCUACGAUCUGUAUCCGGCCUGAGAGGGCGAUCGGACACACUGACACUGAAUAACGGGUCAGACUCCUACGGGAGGCAGCAGUCGGGAAUUUUGGGCAAUGGGCGAAAGCCUGACCCAGCAACGCCGCGUGAAGGAUGAAGUAUUUCGGUAUGUAAACUUCGAAAGAAUGGGAAGAAUAAAUGACGGUACCAUUUAUAAGCUCCGGCUAACUACGUGCCAGCAGCCGCGGUAAUACGUAGGGAGCAAGCGUUGUUCGGAUUUACUGGGCGUAAAGGGCGCGUAGGCGGCGCUGUAAGUCACUUGUGAAAUCUCCGGGCUUAACUCGGAACGGCCAAGUGAUACUGCAGUGCUAGAGUGCAGAAGGGGCAAUCGGAAUUCUUGGUGUAGCGGUGAAAUGCGUAGAUAUCAAGAGGAACACCUGAGGCGAAGGCGGGUUGCUGGGCUGACACUGACGCUGAGGCGCG